rnacentral:lncRNA from 10 species
CGUUUUGCUGGGACAGUCAUCUGCCCUUCAGGAAAAAGGGUGCAGCCCCAGCCCCCGGAUGUGGUGACAGAAUCGAUACUGUACCGACCUCAGCUACCCCCAACGGCCGUACACCAGGAAGAGGGGCUCUUCUGGCAGCCCCCAUCCUCAGCCAGCCCUGCCAUUUCCAGUCCUGCCAGCAUCCCAGCCAGACAGGUGGCCCUUCUCUUAGAGCUCAAACCUAGGCCUUGACUUGUCAAUCAAAGGGGUGGGUGGGGCAGCUUCCCUCAAGCAACUUCACUCUG